UACGUAGGGUGCGAGCGUUGUCCGGAAUUAUUGGGCGUAAAGAGCUCGUAGGCGGUUUGUCGCGUCGGUUGUGAAAACCCAAGGCUCAACCUUGGGCCUGCAAUCGAUACGGGCAGACUAGAGUACUGCAGGGGAGACUGGAAUUCCUGGUGUAGCGGUGGAAUGCGCAGAUAUCAGGAGGAACACCGGUGGCGAAGGCGGGUCUCUGGGCAGUAACUGACGCUGAGGAGCGAAAGCGUGGGGAGCGAACAGG
rnacentral:rRNA from 1 species